rnacentral:misc_RNA from 1 species
AACGCACAUUGCGCCCCUUGGUAUUCCGAGGGGCAUGCCUGUUCGAGCGUCAUUUCACCAAUCAAGCCCCGCUUGGUAUUAGGCGUCCGGCCCGCGCUUCGGCCGCGGGCCCGCCCGAAAUGCAUCGGCGAGGACAUCGACCCCCGGCGUGUUGAGAAUUCACGUUCGACGUCGGGAGCACCGGUGCGCCUCCGCCGCGGAAGCCUUUCCGGAAAACACGAUUUUUCAAAGGUUGACCUCGGAUCAGGUAGGAAUACCCGCUGAACUUAA